ensembl:lincRNA Gm1965 predicted gene 1965
GUUCACCUCUCUACAGCCGCUAGUCUUCCAACCAGCUCCUUCUGGGAGACCGGUUCUUUGCUCAGGGCCUCCCUGCAUCAGUUUUCUUGGCUUAGAGAAAAAUGAGUGAUGUGCCUGCUCAUCUCGGUGACCUUCUUGUCCCUAAGUGACCUCGUCUCUCAGUGGCCUCUUCUCAGCUAAGGAAGGCACCCCCCAGAAUCCACCUAGGGAGGAGUAGCUGCCAGACAAGGAGACCGGAAUCUCCACCUUUACAUUGACGCGUAGCUGGGGCAAGAGCAGAGCUCAGCUCAUUCAUGGAGAGAGCCACCACUCAGGGACAAGCUAUGAGAAGAAAUGUCACCAACCAGGCACCCGGAGAAACCCACAUGCCUACGACUGCCUCAGCCUAUGCAAUGGGUAUUAGGCCUGCCUAUAGUCUCUGGGGCGGUGUGAGGAAAGGAUACCUAACCGAUCCAUUCCUGAGCUCCGCCACCAGUGUCUCCUAUGUUGCCUACAAAGUUGGAACCAUCCCGAUACCAACUUGCCCACUCCCCAUUGCUUUCACAUGGGUACCCUUGGGCUAUAAUAUGAGGCAGGCUGUUGCCAUGCCCUCUAUUUGGUCCAGGCAGGCCACCGACUUCUAUCACCAACUCGAGAGCCAGUGCCCAGAUGCCGUGGCACCCAACGCAUUUCCCUGCAGUCUCAAGGCGAUCUUACCCUCAUCCCUUUAGACUUUCCCUCUUUUGCUAAUGACAUUUUCAGCCAUUGUCCCCAAGUUCAGUACUAGAUUCUAACCUGCCUGGAAGGGUAGAAGAGGCCUUGGGAUGCUAUGUGAGCGGCCCAGAUACCUGUAGGCCCAGCCCUCAAAUGUUUGCCCCUUCAACCCAGCAACUCCAACUGCCUGCCCUGCAGAAUCCACUGCGACCCCUUGGAGCAGCUGGUGGGGUGUUCAGAGCUGGAGACGCCCCAGUCCCACACUGUACCCUUCAAGCCAGCAGCCAGCCUUUACUGCCUGAAGGAUCUCACCCAUAAUGCCCCACUUCCCCAUCCUCAGGUGCCUUCCCAGCCUCCAAGGGGACCCCAUUGGUUCUUUUGUUUUUCUCUUUUGUUCUUCUGAACUCAUUGUUGGCACCUUUUCUCUGGGCUUCUGAUCUGGACCAGUUCUCACUUGUCAUCUACCUGGGCAGAUACAUUUUGUGUAUAUAUUUUUUUUUUUUAAACUACACAACCACUAGGCUGAGACACCUGUAAACUAUCAGGAUCCACCACCUACACUAGGCCCUCUUUUGCAUAGAAAUGGAUCUCGCUGUUGAGUACCUGGUCAUCCUGUGUACUACUGAGUCCCCAGUGCUUAUACAUGAAUGCCCUGGGACAGUUAACUCAGGUGGCUUCUUCCUGUGCCCUCAGUGUGGUCAAGGGAGGCCACCAGCUUUUAUCACCAACUCGAGAGCCAGUGCCCAGAUACCAUGGAGUCUGAUAUGUUGCCUUGUUUCAUGGGAUCCCCACCCCCACCCCCUCAGGCUUUCCAAGCCUCUGCCCAGUCCCCUUUCCUCAGAGAACGUCCUUUACUCCCUGGCUGCCAUGUAGUGUCCCCAGAGCAUCCUGGGGCUCCAGAACCCAGCAGGCACGCCCUGAAAUCUCUUCAAAAGCCCCACUUAAUGGAGGAUGGACUUGGGGCAGGGGUAGGGGUGGAGGGGAGACAGGAGCCACAAGUUCACUGCGCACACACACACACACACCACGUUGUUUCCUUUCAAGAGCUGUGACAUGUGACAUGGUCUCAUAAAACAUAGUGACUUAUAUGUUCUUAAUAUUAAAUGACAUUCUAUCAUUUUUUUUUUUUUUUUUAGUUUUCACCAGUUAAUGUAUUUUAAGACCCCAUCCUAACCUGAAUAUGAAUAGUACAUUUCCAGGUUUAUUGGCAUGGAAGUUCUCCUGUAUUCCCUAUCGGUUUUAAUUGUCUACUGUAUUCUUUCUUCCUAAUGUCAACUAUAUUAAAGGAGGUAAAUGCGAUCUCACCGAAGGCUGUGGUUUGGAUCUUUGUGUUUACCUAGAGUUCCCUACAUUGAAGCCCUGGGAGGUGACAGCAGGGAGGUCUUUAGGUCACUGGGGGUGUACCCUUGCAGAAGAUGGAGCGGCCCCAGCCCCUUUCUUCCUUUUUCAACCCUGAGGUAAACCAUUUUACUCCACCACACUUCCUCCAGUGUGUGCCACACAGGUCCAAAGCAAAAGGGCCAAGUAAUCGUGGCUCUCAACCCUUUAAAACCGUGAGCUGAGUAACCUUUCCUCAGGACCUCAGGCAUUUGUUACAGUAACAUGUUGCUGAACCACCACGGAGUUGUAUUUCAGCAGAUUCUGUUUUGACAUCACUGAUUCUCUAGUGUCCCGUAUCCUCAUCCGUGGCCUCAGUUUCAUGUUGUACCUUCAAGGAUAAUUUCUGCCGACUCAUUUGCCUGGAGUUCCUC